AUGUUCAGUUCCGUUGUCAAAGCUGCAACCAUAAGAUUUGUGUUGGCUAUUGCUGUGUCCAAAGGAUGGAGCCUAAGACAGCUAGAUGUACAGAACGCGUUUUUGCAUGGUGUUCUUGAAGAGGAGGUGUUCAUGAGACAACCACCUGGGUAUGAAAAUAAGAAAACACCACAUUAUGUGUGCAAACUUGACAAGGCACUCUAUGGCUUGAAACAAGCACCUAGAGCAUGGUAUUCCAGGUUGAGCUCACAAUUAAAAUGUCUUGGCUUUAUUGCUUCCAAAGCUGAUACAUCUCUGUUUAUUUAUAACAAGGCAAAAGUAGCAAUUUUUGUGCUCAUUUGUGUAGAUGAUAUUAUAGUGGCAUGUUCAUCACAAAGUGCUACUAAUGCUCUCCUGCAUGAUUUGAGCUCAGAGUUUGCUUUGAAGGAUCUGGAAGACUUGCACUUCUUUCUAGGCAUUGAAGUCAAGAAGACUCAAGAUGGCAUAGUGUUAAGUCAAGAGAAAUAUGUGAAUGAGCUUCUAUCUCGCAUGGGGAUGACAAACUGCAAGCCUGUGCCCACACCUUUGUCUUCUUCAGAGAAAUUGUCAGCAUAUGAAGGGAAGUCACUUCAGGAGGAAGAUAGUACAAGGUAUAGAAGUACUGUUGGUGCAUUACAAUACCUGACACUCACUCGUCCAGAUAUCUCUUUUGCGGUUAAUAAGUGA
rnacentral:rRNA from 1 species